AGGUAAGGAGAUAGGAUGCACUGAGAGGGAGUGUCUCCUAUAGAUACGGAUGGGAAGGAGGUAAGGAGAUAGGAUGCACUGAGAGGGAGUGUCUCCUAUAGAUACGGAUGGGAAGGAGGUAAGGAGAUAGGAUGCACUGAGAGGGAGCGUCUCCUAUAGAUACGGAUGGGAAGGAGGUAAGGAGAUAGGAUGCACUGAGAGGGAGCGUCUCCUAUAGAUACGGAUGGGAAGGAGGUAAGGAGAUAGGAUGCACUGAGAGGGAGCGUCUCCUAUAGAUACGGAUGGGAAGGAGGUAAGGAGAUAGGAUGCACUGAGAGGGAGCGUCUCCUAUAGAUACGGAUGGGAAGGAGGUAAGGAGAUAGGAUGCACUGAGAGGGAGUGUCUCCUAUAGAUACGGAUGGGAAGGAGGUAAGGAGAUAGGAUGCACUGAGAGGGAGCGUCUCCUAUAGAUACGGAUGGGAAGGAGGUAAGGAGAUAGGAUGCACUGAGAGGGAGCGUCUCCUAUAGAUACGGAUGGGAAGGAGGUAAGGAGAUAGGAUGCACUGAGAGGGAGCGUCUCCUAUAGAUACGGAUGGGAAGGAAGCAGGUAAGGAGAUAGGAUGCACUGAGAGGGAGUGUCUCCUAUAGAUACGGAUGGGAAGGAAGCAGGUAAGGAGAUAGGAUGCACUGAGAGGGAGCGUCUCCUAUAGAUACGGAUGGGAAGGAGGUAAGGAGAUAGGAUGCACUGAGAGGGAGCGUCUCCUAUA